rnacentral:tRNA from 1 species
UGUUCUGUGGCUUAGUUGGUUAAAGCACCGGUCUAGAGAAUACGAAGUCGUCAGUUCGAAUCCCACCAGAACGU